rnacentral:rRNA from 1 species
AUUGAACGCUGGCGGCAUGCCUAACACAUGCAAGUCGAACGGAGAUAGGGGCAACCUUAUUUCAGUGGCGGACGGGUGAGGAAUGCGUCGGAAUCUGCCCUAUGGUGGGGGAUAACACAGGGAAACUUGUGCUAAUACCGCAUAAUGUCGAGAGACCAAAGCAGGGGACCGCAAGGCCUUGCGCGAUAGGAUGAGCCGACGCCCGAUUAGCUUGUUGGUAGGGUAAUGGCCUACCAAGGCGACGAUCGGUAGCUGGUCUGAGAGGAUGAUCAGCCACACUGGGACUGAGACACGGCCCAGACUCCUACGGGAGGCAGCAGUGGGGGAAUAUUGGACAAUGGGCGGCAAGACCUCGAUCCAGCAAUAGCCGCGUGUGUGAG